UAACAAAAGAGAGGGUGCCAAGUCAGUGUUGUGUGUAAGAAAACAUUCACUCAUAAUGCUGAAGAGCAAUGAAUUACCUUAGGUUUGGGUCUUUUAACCGUUUGUGGUAGAGGAAUAUUGUCUAUCUAUUGACCCCCAAAAGGGCCCUUAAAUGGGAACUCUGACAUUUUUCAAUCAAGGGUCUAGUUAUAGAGGUUUUGUAGUUUAUGUUUUCACUAAGAAGAAAAACUAAAUUAAUCUGUGCAGUAUUGAUUUAGAAUGUGAAAACAAUCAUGAGCUAACUGGCCACAUAAUGUCAUUGUACAUGGCGAGACAAAACCAC